AUUGAACGCUGGCGGAAUGCUUUACACAUGCAAGUCGAACGGCAGCACGGGGGCAGCCCUGGUGGCGAGUGGCGAACGGGUGAGUAAUACAUCGGAACGUGCCCGGUCGUGGGGGAUAACGUAGCGAAAGUUACGCUAAUACCGCAUACGAUCUGAGGAUGAAAGCGGGGGACCUUCGGGCCUCGCGCGAUCGGAGCGGCCGAUGUCAGAUUAGGUAGUUGGUGGGGUAAAGGCCUACCAAGCCGACGAUCUGUAGCUGGUCUGAGAGGACGGCCAGCCACACUGGGACUGAGACACGGCCCAGACUCCUACGGGAGGCAGCAGUGGGGAAUUUUGGACAAAGGGCGCAAGCCUGAUCCAGCCAUUCCGCGUGCAGGACGAAGGCCUUCGGGUUGUAAACUGCUUUUGUACGGAACGAAAAGGCUCUGGCUAAUACCUGGGGCUCAUGACGGUACCGUAAGAAUAAGCACCGGCUAACUACGUG
rnacentral:rRNA from 1 species